GACGAACGCUAGCGGCGUGCUUAACACAUGCAAGUCGAACGGAAAGGCCCUGCUUGCAGGGUACUCGAGUGGCGAACGGGUGAGUAACACGUGGGUGAUCUGCCCUGCACUUCGGGAUAAGCCUGGGAAACUGGGUCUAAUACCGGAUAGGAGCCAUUUUUAGUGUGAUGGUUGGAAAGUUUUUUCGGUGUAGGAUGAGCUCGCGGCCUAUCAGCUUGUUGGUGGGGUAAUGGCCUACCAAGGCGGCGACGGGUAGCCGGCCUGAGAGGGUGGACGGCCACAUUGGGACUGAGAUACGGCCCAGACUCCUACGGGAGGCAGCAGUGGGGAAUAUUGCACAAGGGGCGCAAGCCUGAUGCAGCGACGCCGCGGGGGGGAUGACGGCCUUCGGGUUGUAAACGCCUUUCGCUAGGGACGAAGCUUUUUGUGACGGUACCUAGAUAAGAAGCACCGGCUAACUACGUG
rnacentral:rRNA from 1 species